rnacentral:rRNA from 1 species
AUGAACGCUGGCGGCGUGCCUAAUACAUGCCAGUCGAGCGAACAGACGAGGAGCUUGCUCCUUUGACGUUAGCGGCGGACGGGUGAGUAACACGUGGGUAACCUACCUAUAAGACUGGGAUAACUUCGGGAAACCGGAGCUAAUACCGGAUAAUAUUUCGAACCGCAUGGUUCGAUAGUGAAAGAUGGCUUUGCUAUCACUUAUAGAUGGACCUGCGCCGUAUUAGCUAGUUGGUAAGGUAACGGCUUACCAAGGCAACGAUACGUAGCCGACCUGAGAGGGUGAUCGGCCACACUGGAACUGAGACACGGUCCAGACUCCUACGGGAGGCAGCAGUAGGGAAUCUUCCGCAAUGGGCGAAAGCCUGACGGAGCAACGCCGCGUGAGUGAUGAAGGUCUUCGGAUCGUAAAACUCUGUUAUUAGGGAAGAACAAACGUGUAAGUAACUGUGCACGUCUUGACGGUACCUAAUCAGAAAGCCACGGCUAACUACGUG